rnacentral:rRNA from 1 species
UACGAAGGUCCCAAGCGUUAUCCGGAUUUAUUGGGUUUAAAGGGUGCGUAGGCGGGUUAUUAAGUCAGUGGUGAAAGCCUACAGCUUAACUGUAGAAUUGCCAUUGAUACUGAUAAUCUUGAGUAUGAUUGGGGUGGGCGGAAUGUGUCAUGUAGCGGUGAAAUGCUUAGAUAUGACACAGAACACCGAUUGCGAAGGCAGCUCACUAAGUCAUAACUGACGCUGAUGCACGAAAGCGUGGGGAGCAAACAGG